rnacentral:rRNA from 1 species
AGUGAACGCUGGCGGCGUGCCUAAUACAUGCAAGUCGAACGGAGUGGCGCACGGGUGAGUAAUGUAUAGCUAAUAUGUCCUACACUAGAGGACAACAGUUGGAAACGACUGCUAAUACUCUAUAGUGUAGGAUGAGGAUACAUUGUAUCAGCUAGUUGGUGAGGUAAUGUCUCACCAAGGCUAUGACGCAUAACUGGUCUGAGAGGAUGAUCAGUCACACUGGAACUGAGACACGGUCCGGACUCCGACGGGAGGCAGCAGUAUGGAAUAGUGCUCAAUGGGAGAAACCCUGACGCAGCAACGCCGGGUGGAGGAUGACACUUUUCUGAGCAUAAACUCCUUUUGUUAGGGAAGCGGUACCUAACGAAUAAGCACCGGCUAACUCCGUGCCAGCAGCCGCGGUAAUUC